rnacentral:misc_RNA from 1 species
AGGAACCGGAUGCGGGAAAACCGCACGUCCGGGUCUGUGCGGGGGCGCCCAGUGACGGGCGUUCCUGGCGAAAAUACCCUGGCGAAAAUACCCUGGCGCAAAUACCCUUGACAAUCUGCCUGUCCCAAA